GAGUUUGAUCUUGGCUCAGAACGAACGCUGGCGGCAUGCCUAACACAUGCAAGUCGAACGAUGGCUUCGGCCAUAGUGGCGCACGGGUGAGUAACGCGUGGGAACCUGCCUUUUGGUUUGGGAUAACUCCGGGAAACUGGAGCUAAUACCGGAUGAGCCCGGGCAACCGGGGAAAGAUUUAUCGCCAAAAAGAGGGGGCCCGCGUCCGAUUAGGUAGUUGGUGGGGUAACGGCCUACCAAGCCUGCGAUCGGUAGCUGGUCUGAGAGGAUGAUCAGCCACACUGGGACUGAGACACGGCCCAGACUCCUACGGGAGGCAGCAGUGGGGAAUAUUGGACAAUGGGCGCAAGCCUGAUCCAGCAAUGCCGCGUGGAUGAUGAAGGCCUUAGGGUUGUAAAGUCCUUUCGGCGGGGACGAUGAUGACGGUACCCGCAGAAGAAGCCCCGGCUAACUUCGUGCCAGCAGCCGCCGCAGUAAG
rnacentral:rRNA from 1 species